rnacentral:rRNA from 1 species
CAGCGCCACGGUAAUACGGAGGGUGCAAGCGUUAAUCGGAAUUACUGGGCGUAAAGCGUGCGUAGGCGGUUCGUUAAGUCUGUUGUGAAAGCCCCGGGCUCAACCUGGGAAUGGCAAUGGAUACUGGCGAGCUAGAGUGUGUCAGAGGAUGGUGGAAUUCCCGGUGUAGCGGUGAAAUGCGUAGAGAUCGGGAGGAACAUCAGUGGCGAAGGCGGCCAUCUGGGACAACACUGACGCUGAGGCACGAAAGCGUGGGGAGCAAACAGGAUUAGAUACCCGCGUAGUCCCUGUCUCUUAUACC